rnacentral:rRNA from 1 species
CUAAGAAUAUUCCGCAAUGGACGGAAGUCUGACGGAGCGACGCCGCGUGGAUGACGAAGGCCGAAAGGUUGUAAAGUUCUUUUGCUGGGGAAGAAUAACCGCAGGAGGGAAUGCCUGUGGGAUGACAAGAACCGGCGAAUAAGCCCCGGCCAACUACGCGCCAGCAGCCGCGGUAACACGUAGGGGGCGAGCGUUGUUCGGAAUUACUGGGCGUAAAGGGCAUGUAGGCGGCUUGGAAAGCCUGGCGUGAAAGUCUGCAGCUUAACUGCAGGGGUGCGCUGGGAACUGCUGAGCUUGAGUGACGGAGAGGGAGCUGGAAUUCCUGGUGUAGGGGUGAAAUCUGUAGAUAUCAGGAAGAACACCGAUGGCGAAGGCAAGCUCCUGGCCGAUGACUGACGCUGAGGUGCGAAAGUGUGGGGAUCAAACAGGAUUAGAUACCCUGGUAGUCCACACAGUCAACGAUGUGCACUAGGUGCUGGGGCGGUAGCUUCGGUGCCGGAGCGAACGUGGUGAAGUGCACCGCCUGGGGAGUAUGCUCGCAAGGGUGAAACUUAAAGG